UACGUAGGGCGCAAGCGUUAUCCGGAAUUAUUGGGCGUAAAGAGCUCGUAGGCGGUUUGUCGCGUCUGCCGUGAAAGUCCGGGGCUCAACUCCGGAUCUGCGGUGGGUACGGGCAGACUAGAGUGAUGUAGGGGAGACUGGAAUUCCUGGUGUAGCGGUGAAAUGCGCAGAUAUCAGGAGGAACACCGGUGGCGAAGGCGGUUCUCUGGGAAUGACCUGACGCUGAGGUGCGAAAGCGUGGGGAGCAAACAGG
rnacentral:rRNA from 1 species